AUUUAGCCUGGUUUGGUGGCCUCCCGGCGAAUUAUUGCGUUCUUUCGGAACUUCGACAUGGCAGCACUGCACUAUUGGACUACGGCAAGCUCACGUCGUCUGGUGGAGCUUCCUGCGGAAACUACUGCUGCUUACCUGGUGCCACAACGCUGGAUGAAUGCACAAAAAGCCCGCGACGAGCAUUUACAAAGAACAAAAUAAACGUUAAUUUUUCCUCAUUUCACAA
rnacentral:lncRNA from 1 species